GACGAACGCUGGCGGCGUGCCUAAUACAUGCAAGUCGAGCGAAGUUUUUCUGGUGCUUGCACUAGAAAAACUUAGCGGCGACCGGGUGAGUAACACGUAAAGAACCUGCCUCAUAGACUGGGACAACUAUUGGAAACGUUAGCUAAUACCGGAUAACAGUAUUUCUCGCAUGAGAGAUAUUUAAAAGUUGGUUAUGCUAACACUAUGAGAUGGCUUUGCGGUGCAUUAGCUAGUUGGUGGGGUAAAGGCCCACCAAGGCGACGAUGCAUAGCCGACCUGAGAGGGUGAUCGGCCACACUGGGACUGAGACACGGCCCAGACUCCUACGGGAGGCAGCAGUAGGGAAUCUUCCGCAAUGGGCGAAAGCCUGACGGAGCAACGCCGCGUGAGUGAAGAAGGAUUUCGGUUCGUAAAGCUCUGUUGUUAGGGAAGAAUGGAUAUGUAGUAACUAUACAUGUAAGAGACGGUACCUAACCAGAAAGCCACGGCUAACUACGUG
rnacentral:rRNA from 1 species